rnacentral:rRNA from 1 species
AGUGAACGCUGGCGGUGGGCCUAACACAUGCAAGUCGAACGGCAGCACAGUAAGAGCUUGCUCUUACGGGUGGCGAGUGGCGGACGGGUGAGGAAUACAUCGGAAUCUACUUUUUCGUGGGGGAUAACGUAGGGAAGCUUACGCUAAUACCGCAUACGACCUACGGGUGGAAGCAGUGGAUCUUCGGACCUUGCGCGAUUGAAUGAGCCGAUGUCGGAUUAGCUAGUUGGCGGGGUAAAGGCCCACCAAGGCGACGAUCCGUAGCUGGUCUGAGAGGAUGAUCAGCCACACUGGAACUGAGACACGGUCCAGACUCCUACGGGAGGCAGCAGUGGGGAAUCUUGGACAAUGGGCGAAAGCCUGAUCCAGCAAUACCGCGUGGGUGAAGAAGGCCUUCGGGUUGUAAAGCCCUUUUGUUGGGAAAGAAAAGAAGCAGGUUAAUACCCCGCUGUUCUGACGGUACCCAAAGAAUAAGCACCGGCUAACUUCGUG